UCUCCGUUGGUGAACCAGCGGAGGGAUCAUUACCGGGUUUACAACUCCCAAACCCCUGUGAACAUACCAUUUGUUGCCUCGGCGGUGCCUGCUUCGGCAGCCCGCCAGAGGACCCAAACCCUUGAUUUUAUACAGUAUCUUCUGAGUAAAUGAUUAAAUAAAUCAAAACUUUCAACAACGGAUCUCAUGGUUCUG
rnacentral:misc_RNA from 1 species